GACGAAGGAUGCAAGCGUUAUCCGGAUUUAUUGGGUUUAAAGGGAGCGUAGGUGGUCCUAUAAGUCAGUGGUGAAAGCCGGUCGCUUAACGAUCGAACUGCCAUUGAUACUGUAGGACUUGAGUACAGAUGCCGUUGGCGGAAUAUGACAUGUAGUGGUGAAAUACAUAGAGAUGUCAUAGAACACCGAUUGCGAAGGCAGCUAACGAAACUGUAACUGACACUGAGGCUCGAAAGUGUGGGGAUCAAACAGG
rnacentral:rRNA from 1 species